rnacentral:rRNA from 1 species
CACGAAGUUAGCCGGUGCUUAUUCUGUCGGUAACGUCAAAACAGCAAGGUAUUAACUUACUGCCCUUCCUCCCAACUUAAAGUGCUUUACAAUCCGAAGACCUUCUUCACACACGCGGCAUGGCUGGAUCAGGCUUUCGCCCAUUGUCCAAUAUUCCCCA